UACGGGGGGGGCAAGCGUUGUUCGGAAUUACUGGGCGUAAAGGGCUCGUAGGCGGCCAACUAAGUCAGACGUGAAAUCCCUCGGCUUAACCGGGGAACUGCGUCUGAUACUGGAUGGCUUGAAUCCGGGAGAGGGAUGCGGAAUUCCAGGUGUAGCGGUGAAAUGCGUAGAUAUCUGGAGGAACACCGGUGGCGAAGGCGGCAUCCUGGACCAAUAUUGACGCUGAGGAGCGAAAGCCAGGGGAGCAAACGGG
rnacentral:rRNA from 1 species